rnacentral:rRNA from 1 species
UACGGGGGGAGCAAGCGUUGUUCGGAUUUACUGGGCGUAAAGGGCGCGUAGGCGGCCAGCACAAGUCAGUUGUGAAAUCUCCGAGCUUAACUCGGAAAGGUCAACUGAUACUGUGCGGCUAGAGUGCGGAAGGGGCAACUGGAAUUCUUGGUGUAGCGGUGAAAUGCGUAGAUAUCGGGAAGAACACCCGUGGCUAAGGCGGCUCUCUAGUACGGUACUGACGCUGAGACGCGAAAGCGUGGGGAGCGAACAGG